rnacentral:rRNA from 1 species
AGAGCGAACGCUGGCGGCGUGCUUAACACAUGCAAGUCGAACGCGCAGCAUUCUGUAGCAAUACAGGGUGUGGGCGCGUGGCGAACGGGUGCGUAACACGUGGAUAACCUUCCUUCGGGUGGGGAAUAACCCAGUGAAAAUUGGGCUAAUACCGCAUAACAUCGCGAUGGCACAUGCCGUUGCGUUCAAAGGCGCAAGUCGCCAGAAGAGGGAUCCGCGGCCGAUUAGCUUGUUGGCGGGGUAACGGCCCACCAAGACGAUGAUCGGUA